rnacentral:rRNA from 1 species
UGAACGCUGGCGGCAUGCCUUACACAUGCAAGUCGAGCGGCAGCGCGGGGGCAACCCUGGCGGCGAGCGGCGAACGGGUGAGUAAUGCAUCGGAACGUGUCCUCUUGUGGGGGAUAACCGGUCGAAAGACUGGCUAAUACCGCAUGAGCUCGAGAGAGGAAAGCGGGGGAUCCGCGAGGACCUCGCGCGAGAGGAGCGGCCGAUGUCCGAUUAGCUAGUUGGUAGGGUAACGGCCUACCAAGGCGACGAUCGGUAGCUGGUCUGAGAGGACGGCCAGCCACACUGGGACUGAGACACGGCCCAGACUCCUACGGGAGGCAGCAGUGGGGAAUUUUGGACAAUGGGCGCAAGCCUGAUCCAGCCAUGCCGCGUGUGUGAAGAAGGCCUU